CCAAUCGGCGCUGAUGUCAGAUUUUUAUCCAGUUUGACCUCGGAUCA
rnacentral:rRNA from 1 species